rnacentral:snRNA from 1 species
GUGCUCUCUUUGGAAGCACAUAUACUAAAAUGGGAACAAUAAAGAAAGAUUAGCAUGGCCCUGUGCAAGGAUGACAUGCAAACUAGUGAAGCGCUCCUUACCUUU